GAAGCCAUUUGCUGUCCGAAAGCGAAAACAUCAAGCAAGCCAGCCUAGGAUUUCCCAAAAGAGCAUUCCAAGGAAGCGAGCUCCCCUCAGAAGGGGCUCAGCAAAAGUCCAGCUCAGCUCCUGACACUGUGCAGUGUAAUGUCCGGAGGAACUGAACAGUCGGAGAGCUGGCUACGAUGAACUUGACGUUUUUUUUUUUUCAAGGCCGAUAAAUCUGAUCCAGGAAUCUGCCUUUGUCGUGCUCUGUCGGAAAUGCUCGGACUUUUAAAUUCUAUUUCGUUAUUGUUGUUUGAAAGUUUUGUCGUCAGUCAGGGUCUUUCUAUAUGCUCCAAGCUAACCUGCAAUUCCCCUGUCUCAUCCCCCUGAGUGUUUUUGCAGAUGGCUUGCACUACAUCAGGAUGCAGAAGACUGUCCCAGAGAGCCUGCCUAGACUUCUCAAGAAAGUUUCCUGAGAGCAAUAUUUUCCUUUGCUGUACUAGUUUCAAGGAUGCUGGUCUCAUCUCCCUACUGUGUGGCCUGUAAUCACUUCUAUCUAUAGCACCACCCUCUAUGAGUCCCUUCUGUGUUCUGGACUAUGUCACAGUCUGGGUCACAGUGGUGAUUCCGAAGAGUGAAGGGGUGGGGUGUCUGGAGCCUUUGUAUAAAUGCAGCAGUCUGCUGGGAGCAUUGAUGAUUUUUGUUGAUGACAAGGAGAAAAAAA
rnacentral:lncRNA from 1 species